UACCAGCACCCCGAGUGGUCGGGACGAUUAUUGGGCCUAAAGCGUCCGUAGCCGGUCAUGCAAGUCUUCCGUUAAAUCCAGCCGCUCAACGGUUGGGCUGCGGAGGAUACUACGUGGCUAGGAGGCGGGAGAGGCAAGCGGUACUCAGUGGGUAGGGGUAAAAUCCGUUGAUCCAUUGAAGACCACCAGUGGCGAAGGCGGCUUGCCAGAACGCGCUCGACGGUGAGGGAUGAAAGCUGGGGGAGCAAACCGG
rnacentral:rRNA from 1 species